GAUUAAGUGUCGUAAGGGCAUUUGGUGGAUGCCUUGGCAUGCACAGGCGAUGAAGGACGUGAUACGCUGCGAAAAGCCGUGGGGAGCUGCGAAUGAGCUUUGAUCCAUGGAUCUCCGAAUGGGGCAACCCACCUUAAAUACCUAGAAAAUCUGUUUUGUUGCUUUGGUUGCGAGGGACUUCCUUCGUAGCGCAAGGCGCGUCGCCGGUCGUCCGGCGCGCCGUCCGCAGGCCUUUGGCCGUGAGGACAAAACAGGUUUCUAGGUAUUGUGAUAAGGUAUCUGCACCUGAAUACAUAGGGUGUAAGAAGCGAACGCAGGGAACUGAAACAUCUAAGUACCUGCAGGAAAGGACAUCAACCGAGACUCCGCAAGUAGUGGCGAGCGAACGCGGACCAGGCCAGUGGCAAUUGUGAUUAAAGUGGAACGCUCUGGAAAGUGCGGCCGUAGUGGGUGACAGCCCCGUACGCGUAGAUAUCACGAUUGUCCUAGAGUAGGGCGGGACACG
rnacentral:rRNA from 1 species